rnacentral:rRNA from 1 species
UACGUAGGGUGCGAGCGUUAAUCGGAAUUACUGGGCGUAAAGGGUGCGCAGGCGGUUUUGUAAGCCAGAUGUGAAAUCCCCGGGCUCAACCUGGGAAUGGCAUUUGGGACUGCAAGGCUAGAGUGUGGCAGAGGAGACUGGAAUUCCCGGUGUAGCAGUGAAAUGCGUAGAUAUCGGGAGGAACACCGAUGGCGAAGGCAGGUCUCUGGGCAUUAACUGACGCUGAGGAGCGAAAGCAUGGGGAGCGAACAGG